rnacentral:rRNA from 1 species
AACGCGAAGAACCUUACCUACCCUUGACAUGUCAGGAAGCUUACAGAGAUGUAGGUGUGCCUUCGGGAACCUGAACACAGGUGCUGCAUGGCUGUCGUCAGCUCGUGUCGUGAGAUGUUGGGUUAAGUCCCGUAACGAGCGCAACCCCUGUCCUUAGUUACCAGCACGUAAUGGUGGGAACUCUAAGGAGACUGCCGGUGAUAAACCGGAGGAAGGUGGGGAUGACGUCAAGUCCUCAUGGCCCUUAUGGGUAGGGCUACACACGUGCUACAAUGGUCGGUACAGAGGGUUGCCAACCCGCGAGGGGGAGCCAAUCCCACAAAACCGAUCUCAGUCCGGAUUGAGGUCUGCAACUCGACCCCAUGAAGUUGGAAUCGCUAGUAAUCGUGGAUCAGAACGCCACGGUGAAUACGUUCCCGGGCCUUGUACACACCGCACGA